UACGUAGGGCGCAAGCGUUGUCCGGAAUUAUUGGGCGUAAAGAGCUCGUAGGCGGUCUGUCGCGUCUGUUGUGAAAACUCGAGGCUCAACCUCGGGCUUGCAGUGGAUACGGGCAGACUAGAGUGCGGUAGGGGAGACUGGAAUUCCUGGUGUAGCGGUGGAAUGCGCAGAUAUCAGGAGGAACACCGAUGGCGAAGGCAGGUCACUGGGCCGCAACUGACGCUGAGGAGCGAAAGCAUGGGGAGCGAACAGG
rnacentral:rRNA from 1 species